CCACGGUGUGAUUCAUGACUGGGGUGAAGUCGUAACAAGGUAGCCGUAGGGGAACCUGCGGCUGGAUCACCUCCUUAAUCGACGACA
rnacentral:rRNA from 1 species